AAGGGGGGCAACCCCCGAGUAGAGUGGCGAACGGGUGAGUAAUACAUCGGAACGUGUCCAGUAGCGGGGGAUAACCUCUCGAAAGAGAGGCUAAUACCGCAUACGUCCUACGGGAGAAAGAGGGGGAUCGCAAGACCUCUCACUAUUGGAGCGGCCGAUGUCGGAUUAGCUAGUUGGUGUGGUAAAAGCCUACCAAGGCAACGAUCCGUAGCUGGUCUGAGAGGACGACCAGCCACACUGGAACUGAGACACGGUCCAGACUCCUACGGGAGGCAGCAGUGGGGAAUUUUGGACAAUGGGCGCAAGCCUGAUCCAGCCAUGCCGCGUGAGUGAAGAAGGCCUUCGGGUUGUAAAGCUCUUUCGGCGGGGACGAAAAGGUCCGUGCUAACACCAUGGAUCCAUGACGGUACCCGCAGAAGAAGCACCGGCUAACUACGUGCCAGCAGCCGCGGUAAUACGUAGGGUGCAGGCGUUA
rnacentral:rRNA from 1 species